AGCGAACGCUGGCGGCAGGCUUAACACAUGCAAGUCGAACGCAUCCUUCGGGAUGAGUGGCAGACGGGUGAGUAACACGUGGGAACGUACCUUUUAGUUCGGAAUAACUCAGGGAAACUUGGGCUAAUACCGGAUACGCCCUUUGGGGGAAAGAUUUAUCGCUAAAAGAUCGGCCCGCGUCUGAUUAGCUAGUUGGUGUGGUAAUGGCGCACCAAGGCGACGAUCAGUAGCUGGUCUGAGAGGAUGAUCAGCCACACUGGGACUGAGACACGGCCCAGACUCCUACGGGAGGCAGCAGUGGGGAAUAUUGGACAAUGGGGGCAACCCUGAUCCAGCCAUGCCGCGUGUGUGAAGAAGGCCUUAGGGUUGUAAAGCACUUUCAGUCAGGAGGAAGGGUGCAAGGUUAAUAGCUUUGCACAUUGACGUUACUGACAGAAGAAGCACCGGCUAACUCCGUGCCAGCCGCCGCGGUAACAC
rnacentral:rRNA from 1 species